UACGUAGGGGGCAAGCGUUGUCCGGAAUCACUGGGCGUAAAGGGUGCGUAGGCGGUCGGGUAAGUCUGAUGUGAAAUCUCACAGCUUAACUGUGAAACUGCAUUGGAUACUAUCCGGCUAGAGGAAUGGAGGGGAGACUGGAAUACUUGGUGUAGCAGUGAAAUGCGUAGAUAUCAAGUGGAACACCAGUGGCGAAGGCGAGUCUCUGGACAUUUCCUGACGCUGAGGCACGAAAGCCAGGGGAGCAAACGGG
rnacentral:rRNA from 1 species